rnacentral:rRNA from 1 species
GCGACGUGCCUAAGGUAUGCAAGUCGAAUGCCGAUUUAUCGGCAUGGCAGACGGCUGAGUAAUACAUGGGAAUCUACCUCAAACUCGAGAAUAGCCCAUCGAAAGGUGGUGUAAUACUCGAUAGUUCCGUUUACGGUAAAGCUCCGGCGGUUUGAGAUGAGCCCAUGUCCUAUCAGGUUGUUGGUAGGGUAAUUGCCUACCAAGCCUAUGACGGGUAGCUGGUUUGAGAGGAUGAUCAGCCAGACUGGGACUGCGAUACGGCCCAGACUCCUACGGGAGGCAGCAACUAGGAAUCAUGCGCAAUGGACGAAAGUCUGACGCUGCGACGUCGCGUGAGGGAUGAAGGUCUUCGGAUCGUAAACCUCUUUUAUCUGGGAACAAGUUCUGAGUGUACCAGAUGAAUAAGUGCCUGCCAACCACGUGCCAGAAGCAUCGGUAAUGCGUGGGGCACGAGCGUUAUCCGGAUUUACUGGGCGUAAAGAGAUGCGUAGGCGCCUUUUUAAGUCACUUGUAAAAUCUCCCCGCUCAACGGGGAAACUGCAAGUGAUACUGAAUUGGUUGAGUCAAGUAGAGGAGAGGGGAAUUCCUGGUGGAGCGGUUAAAUGCGUUGAUAUCAGGAGGAAUACCAAGUGCGAAGGCACCUCUCUGGACUUGUACUGACGCUAAGGCUCGAAAGUGUGGGGAGCAAAACGGAUUAGAUACCCGUGUAGUCCACACUGUAAACGAUCCCUGCUAGAUGUUUGC